AUGCUGCCUGAGAUGAACAGAGACAGCAGGAUGGCAGAGGAAUCACCAGCUCAAGAAACCCCAAGACUUGGACAGUCUUCCAGCAGAAGAGGCCAGGGUCUCUCACUGUACUACCCCAAACAGGCCUCUCCCAGAGAGGUAGUCUGGGAAGGCCCAAAACCCACCAGACACAGGCACAUCCAGUGGGGAAAGACUUCCCAUUCCAGUGUGGCCUGCAUCCCUCACCUCUGCUUCCCAGUCUUCUGCUGGCCUUGGAGCAGCAGGGUGGCCAUUGCUGAUCUGGGUUAGGGAGAUGCCAGAAACACACCCAGGUUUGAACCACAAGUUAGUGGUACAAAGUCAUAGUCCUUGUGCCUUCAGAAAACCCAGAGGCCCCAAAUCCGAGUGGGAAGAGAGUUGGGAAAAACUGAACCAGAUUCUUCCAAUGGCCAUUAAAGAGAAAAUUCAGCCAUCUUUGCCUUUGUCUUUGACCCUGAGAAGUUAAGGGACACAGAUUGUGGCACUAUGAUGGGACAUGGAGGGAAGGCAUGGUGUGCUUCCUGCAGAGAUGCCUCUGGAGUCCCUGUGGCCAGGGGACCUCACUGGCCCCCUCCUCAGGCACCUUGAUGGGGCUCAGUGGGGCCCAGCCAAUGGGUAGAAGUAGAAAAACAUCAAUAGGCUGUCCAGAUCAACUGGCACCAUCCAGGGCCCUGCUGCACCCACACAUGGAGGUCACUAGCUCAGCACCAGGGGUUUUUUCACACCCAAGCUCCUUCCCUAAGGAGUCCUGUGGGGUUCCACACUCAGUGUGCUACCCAAAUCAGAGAUUCACAGAUCUGUCUCCCCUUCAACCUGGACUCAAAUUACUGCGGUGAGAAACUCACUGUCCAUGGUUAACUGAAGAAAUCCCUCCUUCACAAAGAACCUGAGUGGUAGAUGAGGUGGUUAGACAGGAUCUUUUUCCCCCAAGCUGUCUGGACAACGCCACAGCCAGGACCAACUCUUGACAGCUGCGAGAGAGAGCCCCUCCAAUGUGGAACCUCCUACAUAGCCCCCCUUUUGGGUCCCUGGAUCUGAGCCCCCAGCAGGACCACCACUUGGGGGAAGUCUCCCUCCCAUCCCUCAGAUCCCCACGUUGUUCCUCCUCUAGGAGAAAAGUCAGCCCUGCCCCUGGAGCUUCUCUAAGAUGGCACUGAACUCGCCAUUAUCUUGAGGAGCCAGGAGCUGAAGUGACUCUGGCUUAGCAACCCAGUGUGGCCAAAGUGGAAAGGUUCUCUGUCCUUUGCAGUCAACAAAAAAGAAAAAAGAAAAGAAAAAGUAUGGUCUCACAGGCACAGCAUCUUCUUUUAAAAAAUAAAUAUUUAUAAACUUAAGGA